rnacentral:rRNA from 1 species
CCUACGGGUGGCAGCAGUCGAGAAUCAUUCACAAUGGGGGAAACCCUGAUGGUGCGACGCCGCGUGGGGGAAUGAAGGUCUUCGGAUUGUAAACUCCUGUCAUGUGGGAGCAAAUUAAAAAGAGAGUACCACAAGAGGAAGAGACGGCGAACCCUGUGCCAGCAGCCGCGGUAAUACAGAGGUCUCAAGCGUUGUUCGGAAUCACUGGGCGUAAAGCGUGCGUAGGCUGUUUCGUAAGUAGUGUGUGAAAGGUGCGGGCUCAACCCGCGAACGGCAUAUGAUACUGUGAGACUAGAGUAAUGGAGGGGGAACCGGAAUGCUCGGUGUAGCAGUGAAAUGCGUAGAUAUC